GUUGUGGCCGAGUGGUUAAGGCGAUAGACUAGAAAUCUAUUGGGAUCUUCCCGCACAGGUUUGAAUCAUGCCGACAACG
rnacentral:tRNA from 1 species